CUUUUGGAAAAAUAUGAUUUUGGUUUAAUUAUCUAUUAGCACUACUCCAGUUUACACUCGAGUUGUAUGCACACUUCUGGGAGUAAGAUUGCAUGGUCCAUUUUUGUAGGGUCGUAUUUUGUAACUGUAACUUAUCACAAUCACAGUUCUAACUUUAUUGUUUAAUUCAACAUUUCUAUUAGCAAUUAGUUUUGCUUGUUUCACCUCACUUCAUUAAAUUCCACUAGUUUAAAUUUCUUAAUUCUAC
rnacentral:lncRNA from 1 species